AACAACAGCUGAGUCCCUGAACGCACCACCAACAACAGCUGAGUCCCUGAACGCACCACCAACAACAGCUGAGUCCAGGACGGAGCGUCAGGUGGCGUUCAGGUUCAGCUCGUCUGUUGGUAGAAAAUGCCACAUUUUAUUUUGAAAAGUCGUUCUCCUGUUUGGCAGGUUUCAUCAGCAGAGACGUAACGGAAGAGACAGGAAGUGAUGUCACCACGGGGCCGGUGGCGGCGCUGGUUCAGUCGUCUGUGCAGCAGCAGCAGAUCGACAGUCUGCAGAGCUUCGUUGGAAACACAGUGAGAAUCUCCUUCAUCAUCUUCAUCCCUGCACUACUGCUGCCUGCUGCACACAGACUUUGGAGGUCUGAGACUGACAGGAAGAAGAACCAAUCAGAGGAGGAGGAGGAGGAGGAGGAGGCGGGCAGCUCGGUGUAAAGACAAACAGAAAGCUCCAGCUGUCAAUCAAAACUAAACUAAAACUAAAAAAAUCUGCUCUCGUUUGUCUGUACUAACUAGAUUAUAAUCUUUUAAUUAAAUAAUUCUCAAAUUAAACUUGAGCGAAAAGCAGCAGAAAUUUCAAGUAAAAAAUAAAUAAAUUAAUAAAUACAAUUCUUAUCUUGUUUUUCUGAAUUAACAUGAUCAUUUUCUCAUUAAUUCUGAAAACCAAGAGGAAAUUUUUUGUCAGAAUUGUAUGAAGAUGUUUAUAUUUUAAUAACGUUUGAGGCUGCCUGGGAUAAAUGUGUAAUUGUUUUGUUUCACGUGUUCAUAAAGUGUUUCUUUUCUUGCUGAAGUUUGGUAUCAAACUGUUUGUUGCUUUACUAACAUUGUUUUUAUUUCACUUUCUGACUUAAAAAUGAAUAAAUGAAUUAAAUAAACAAGGCAAUAAAUAAAUAAAUAA